rnacentral:rRNA from 1 species
CGAUGUCUACUAAAAGCUCGGUUCUUCGGAACCUGUUUUUCAAAGCUAACGCAUUAAGUAGACCGCCUGGGGAGUACGGCCGCAAGGUUAAAACUCAAAUGAAUUGACGGGGGCCCGCACACACGGUGGAGCAUGUGGUUUAAUUCGAUGCAACGCGAAGAACCUUACCUACACUUGACAUACAGAGAACUUACCAGAGGUGGAUUGGUGCCUUCGGGAACUCUGAGACAGGUGCUGCAUGGCUGUCGUCAGCUCGUGUUGUGAAAUGUUGGGUUAAGUCCCGCAACGAGCGCAACCCUUAUCCUUUGUUGCCAGCGAGUAAUGUCGGGAACUCAAAGGAGACUGCCGGUGAUAAACCGGAGGAAGGUGGGGAUGACGUCAAGUCAUCAUGGCCCUUACGAGUAGGGCUACACACGUGCUACAAUGGCGUAUACAAAGGGAAGCGACCCCGCGAGGGCAAGCGGAACUCAUAAAGUACAUCGUAGUCCGGAUUGGAGUCUGCAACUCGACUCCAUGAAGUCGGAAUCGCUAGUAAUCGUAGAUCAGAAUGCUACGGUGAAUACGUUCCCGGGCCUUGUACACACCGCCCGUCACACCAUGGGAGUGGGUUGCAAAAGAAGUAGGUAGCUUAACCUCCGGGAGGGCGCUUACCAGUUUGAGAUUCAAGCUCCUGGGGUCAAGUCGUAACAAG